GUGCUCGCUUUGGCAGCACACACACUAAAAUUGGAAUGAUACAGAGAGGAGCAUGGCCCUGUGCACAGAUGACAUGGAAAUUCAUGAAGGAACUUCUUCUCUA